rnacentral:tRNA from 1 species
GGGGUAUAGCUCAGUUGGCUAGAGUACUUGACUGGCAGUCAAGGGGUCAUGGGUUCGAAUCCCAUUAUCUCC